AGGCAUUGGUGGGAUACUACCCUAAUUGUAUUGGAUUUCUAACCCGCAGCACUUAUCGUGCUGGGAGACAGUGUCAGGCGGGCAGUUUGACUGGGGCGGUCGCCUCCUAAAGAGUAACGGAGGCGCUCAAAGGUUCCCUCAGAAUGGUUGGAAAUCAUUCAUAGAGUGUAAAGGCAUAAGGGAGCUUGACUGCGAGACCUACAAGUCGAGCAGGGUCGAAAGACGGACUUAGUGAUCCGGUGGUUCCGCAUGGAAGGGCCAUCGCUCAACGGAUAAAAGCUACCCCGGGGAUAACAGGCUUAUCUCCCCCAAGAGUUCACAUCGACGGGGAGGUUUGGCACCUCGAUGUCGGCUCAUCGCAUCCUGGGGCUGUAGUCGGUCCCAAGGGUUGGGCUGUUCGCCCAUUAAAGCGGUACGCGAGCUGGGUUCAGAACGUCGUGAGACAGUUCGGUCCCUAUCCGUCGUGGGCGUAGGAAAUUUGAGAGGAGCUGUCCUUAGUACGAGAGGACCGGGAUGGACAUACCUCUGGUGUACCAGUUGUCGUGCCAACGGCAUAGCUGGGUAGCUAUGUAUGGACGGGAUAAGUGCUGAAAGCAUCUAAGCAUGAAGCCCCCCUCGAGAUGAGAUUUCCCAACUUCGGUUAUAAGAUCCCUCAAAGAUGAUGAGGUGAAU
rnacentral:rRNA from 1 species